AAGUCCAGGCCUCAGGGCCAGAGUCCUGCAGGUUUGAGAUGAUGAUCCAUCACAGCUGAUUUAUAGGACCUCCUCAGGCCUGGACUUCC
ensembl:miRNA